rnacentral:rRNA from 1 species
AGUGAACGCUGGCGGUAGGCCUAACACAUGCAAGUCGAACGGCAGCACAGUAAGAGCUUGCUCUUACGGGUGGCGAGUGGCGGACGGGUGAGGAAUACAUCGGAAUCUACUUUUUCGUGGGGAUAACGUAGGGAAACUUACGCUAAUACCGCAUACGACCUACGGGUGAAAGCCGGUGAUCUUCGGACCUUGCGCGAUUGAAUGAGCCGAUGUCGGAUUAGCUAGUUGGCGGGGUAAAGGCCCACCAAGGCGACGAUCCGUAGCUGGUCUGAGAGGAUGAUCAGCCAAACUGGAACUGAGACACGGUCCAGACUCCGACGGGAGGCAGAAGUGGGGAAUAUUGGACAAUGGGCGCAAGCCUGAUCCAGCCAUACCGCGUGGGUGAAGAAGGCCUUCGGGUUGUAAAGCCCUUUUGUUGGGAAAGAAAAGCAGCAGGUUAAUACCCCGCUGUUCUGACGGUACCCAAAGAAUAAGCACCGGCUAACUUCGUG